AGGGCAGGUGCUCUUAGCUUUAUGCCAAGUAUGACUCGAAUCAUGUGACCCCCCUCACAGGAAAAUAGUUUCAAGGUCUCUCACACCCAGCAAAGAUAAUUCUAUUACAGAAAUGCCACUUUCCACGAAGGAGACAUGAAGUAUUUAUGUGUGAGAAAACAAGUUCCCAAGAACUGGCAGGGAAGACAGACCAAGAGGGACAGGGAUCCCUGCCCAGUGAGUAUCGCUGUCUUCACACACCAGCCAUGAGCAAAGCCACUGGACACCAAGCCCGAAGACCUGAGUUUGAUUCCCAGUGCCAUCAUGAUGGAAGGGGAAAACUGACUGCUGCAAACUGUCCUUUGACCGGUGAGAAGAUAAAUUCAGUCUCUGUAACUUUAUUGUAGCCUAAAGUGGAACUGAUAUCAAGGAGAGCAUGCUGGCUGAGAGCUGAAUGGCAGGAGAAGGGCAUAACAGUCCGUGGUGGUCAAGGGGAAGGCUGCUAGAAGGCUUGACCACACAAAGGAGCCUUGAGCUGCAAUUCAGAAGCAGACCAAAGGACUCCGGAGGAACACUUCAAUGGAGAAGCAUAAAUGCUGUGGUGAUUGGAAGGUCCUCAUGUGGACAGGUCUGCUUUCCUUCCAAGGACUUUCUAUAGCUCCACUAGACUAAUUGGAGCAUUUGGAAAUUUAGAAAGGACUGAAAAAUAUUUAUAACCAUAGGAAUUAUUAUUAUUGUUAUUCUAAUGCUUGCUUUCUAUUACCUCUCCUGGGGAGAAAAUUGGUAGGUACUUGGUAUGUGGAGCAGAAAGGAACGUACCCUGACAAGGUGUUUUUGUGAGUUUGUUUUCUUUGGUGUGCAAUCAUGAGGACUGCUCCUUAAUGGUCUCCUGAUGGGUGAUGAGAUCUCCAGGCUGUAAUUGUGCCGUUACUGCCUGGGAGAUUUUACCCUUGUCAAU